AUUGAACGCUGGCGGCAUGCUUUACACAUGCAAGUCGAACGGCAGCGGGGUAGUGCUUGCACUACUGUCCGGCGAGUGGCGAACGGGUGAGUAAUAUAUCGGAACGUACCGAGUAAUGGGGGAUAACCAAUCGAAAGAUUGGCUAAUACCGCAUACGUCCUACGGGAGAAAGCGGGGGAUCGCAAGACCUCGCGUUAUUCGAGCGGCCGAUAACUGAUUAGCUAGUUGGCGGGGUAAAGGCCUACCAAGGCGACGAUCAGUAGCGGGUCUGAGAGGACGAUCCGCCACACUGGGACUGAGACACGGCCCAGACUCCUACGGGAGGCAGCAGUGGGGAAUUUUGGACAAUGGGGGCAACCCUGAUCCAGCCAUGCCGCGUGUAUGAAGAAGGCCUUCGGGUUGUAAAGUACUUUUGUUAGGGAAGAAAAGGGAAGUGCUAAUACCACUUUUUGCUGACGGUACCUAAAGAAUAAGCACCGGCUAACUACGUGCCAGCAGCCGCGGUAAUACGUAGGGUGCGAGCGUUAAUCGGAAUUACUGGGCGUAAAGCGAGCGCAGACGGUUAUUUAAGCAGGAUGUGAAAUCCCCGGGCUUAACCUGGGAACUGCGUUCUGAACUGGAUAGCUAGAGUGUGUCAGAGGGGGGUAGAAUUCCACGUGUAGCAGUGAAAUGCGUAGAGAUGUGGAGGAAUACCGAUGGCGAAGGCAGCCCCCUGGGAUAACACUGACGUUCAUGCUCNAAAGCGUGGGUAGCAAACAGG
rnacentral:rRNA from 1 species